rnacentral:rRNA from 1 species
GGACUACAAGGGUAUCUAAUCCUGUUCGCUACCCACGCUUUCGUGCUUUAGUGUCAGUAAUGGACCAGUUGACCGCCUUCGCCACUGGUGUUCUUUCGGAUAUCUACGCAUUUCACUGCUACACCCGAAAUUCCAUCAACCUCUUCCAUACUCAAGCCUUGUAGUAUCAAAGGCAGUUCCGGAGUUAAGCUCCGGGAUUUCACCCCUGACUUACAAAACCACCUGAGCACCCUUUACACCCAGUAAAUCCGGACAACGCUCGCCCCCUACGUAUUACCGCGGCUGCUGGCAC